rnacentral:lncRNA from 1 species
AUCAGGUUAACUGCAGACCACAGUUUGACGCUUUUAAUGUAUCCUAGAGGAUAUCCUUCUUUGUAUUACUGUGGGGUACCCAUUGUCGUUGAAAUUUGUUUGAUAAUCCCCCUUUUUACCUCUCUUCUGUCAUCACUUUGAAUCACAACUUGCAUUUUUUAUUAUUAGGGUUAUCUUUUUACAUGGUCGCCUUGGCUACCCCAAUAGAUAGUAUAGUGCCUUGUUACCCAAAAUAUGGGCCGUGGACCAAUAGCAUCAGCAUCACCUAGGAGCUUUGAAAAAAAUGCAGAAAUUCAGGCCUCCUUCCAGUACUACUGAAUCACAAACUGCACUUUUCUUUUUUUUUUUUUUUUUUUUUUUUUUUCUUGAGACGGAGUCUCGCUCUGUCGCCCAGGCUGGGGUACAUUGGCGCGAUCUCUGCUCACCGCAAGCUCCGCCUCCUGGGUUCACGUCAUUCUCCUGCCUCAGCCUCUCCAGUAGCUGGGACUACAGGCACCCGCCACCACGCCCGGCUAAUUUUUUGUAUUUUUAGUAGAGACGAGGUUUCACCAUGUUAGCCAGGAUGGUCUCCAUCUCCUGACCUCGUGAUCCGCCCGCCUCGGCCUCCCAAAGUGCCGGGAUUACAGGCGUGAGCCACCGCGCCCGGCCCACAGGCUGCAUUUUAAUAACACUCUCUGGUGAUUUGUACGCUUGUGUGUUGGAGACCUAUUAUAUUUGCCUAACUGUCGUUCUCUGCUUCAGGAAAUCUGUCAUUUAUCUGUUUCAGGAAAUGCUCUGACUCCAACACAUAAGGCAGAGAACAGAGGAGAGAUGAGGCAAAAGGGAAUAUUAGACAGAUUCAAAGCUUGAAAAGGACUUGAUCCACUAUGAGGCCAUUAAUGAAGGAAUGCAGGCUGCCUGUAACAGUUGAAAAUCACCCCAGCCAACACCCAGCAAGGAAAUGGAGACCAUAGUCCUCUAACUGUAUGGAACUGAAUUCUGCCAACAAAGUGAAUAAGAUGGGAAGUGAAGACCCUCCCAGAGCCUCCAGAAAGGAAGAGAGCCAUUCAGACACCUUGAUUUCAGCCUUCUGAAACUUGGAGCAGAGAGCCGGCUGUGUCAACCUGAACCUGGGUUUUUAACCUACAAAACUGAGAAAUAAUGAAUAGUGAUUUUUUUUUUUAAAGAUGGAGUCUAGCUCCGUCACCCAGGCUGGAGUGCAGUGGCACGAAUAGUGAUUGUUUUAAGCCACUAAAUUUAUGGUAGUUUUGUUAGGGCAGCAAUAGAAAACUAAUACAUAUGUAAUAUAGCAUUUUAUAAACUAAAAUGUCAGGCAAAUAUGUGCUCUUAUAAUUUGAUAUUGCUAUCUAUUAGAGACAUUGGGUUAAAGAAUAUACUGAACCAAUGUUGUAUUUAUUAUAAGAAAGAUAAGGGUGGGAGAUGGAAAAAAUGAUGUUAAACUCAUGAAUUUAGUUUGCUUUGCAAAUGUUUAACUUUGAGGUUGCUUUUUUCCAGAUCCCUGGAGAUUUGGCCUUUCGGCAUACAGAGAGG